GUUUCUCUAAACGUAGUUGUUUGGGAACCUAUAAGUAAACCGGCCAUAACUUUAAAUUGUAACAUCGUAGAAGAAGGUUAAGGCUAUAAUUUCUGUUAUAACCGUGAUUGCCAGGUAAAAUCAGCCCAAUCAAGGACCUUAGGGUUGUAUGGAUUUAUUCAAAACAAAAAUUGUGCAAAAGAAAUCUCAGAGAUGCUUUUGUUUUAUUAUGUCAUAGCUUCCAGGGGCGUCAAACAGACGAAACUCAAAUUACCAUCAGUUGCCAUCAUAGUUACAUCUGCUUCGUCUAGUGCUGUUCUGGAAUUUCUUUGUCGUAAGAACUUUCGAGUUCUCCGCCAUGCACGUUUUAAACAAGUCAGCCGAAAAUUGUAUCAAAUUUUGUAUAUCGCAAAUGAGUUAAUAGGUUUCAGUGAUUUCAUAAGGUACAUAUGAAUUUCUUUCUGCAGGUUGUAUAGGAUAUGUGUUGUGUGUCCCAUGUGGUGUUGUUUGCAGCCCUUUCUUGUGGUAUGUGUUUAAUAUAGGCAUAUUAGAUGUAGAGCCAUUUGCUGCAGAUGAAAUUUAUGCAGGGAAAAGAACUUCAUGAUAAUGGUGCAUUGGAACUGACAUGAGCUACUGGAUUUCUACCCCUAAAUGGCUUCCAUUAAAAAUUUCAUGCAAGGGUUGAAUGAAGUUCUACCUGGAAAAGCUUCCUUCGAGAAUAAUAGUUGGAUAAUGAAAGUGAAUUAUCCUAAAUCAAGUUGUAAAAUAUUGUGCUUGAAUGAUUGAACCAAAUUUUCUUCUUUAGUAUAAAAAAAAAAGCUACUGCGAGAGAAUACAUAGUGAUUGCCGUACAGCCAACCCGUUUACAACAUCGAUUGCGUGACGCUUCAAAUUCAGCUUAUUGUAAUGUGACCAGAAAAUUGAAGAUGAGGAAUGAACUGGGCAUCGAAAUGUGGGGGCAAAAGGCAUAAAGCUGUUAAUUUGGAGGAAAAAAAUGGUUAGCAAAGGAAAGGUUACCUUAAACCAAUAGCAGGAAUGUAUAUCAGUUAGUAAUUACAAUGUGUACGUUGAAUUCAACUCUGAACAUCUCUUAUAGUUAGCACUGUGUAAAAUGACAAAGUGAGGUGACUGGAAAGGCCUUCCACAAGAAACCAUUCACUCGUUCCACAAAGAUAUACUGUGAAAAGGAAAACCUGGCAGACAAGAAAAACAAAGAAGUUAUUCUGCACAAGAGGAUUUCCUCUGUCAGUCUACACUCAAAUCGACAUAUUCUAAUCGCACAGCCUGUGCCACUGCAUACAAGUAGUAUUCUCUCAAAGCUGGGACAUGGUGGCUAUACCAGCUUUGGGCCAACUAUCUGGAAGAAAAAAUUCACUAGCAAUUGCUAGAACUUCAGUUUCUAUCUUGCGAGUGACAUCGUAACAUUUCACCGAUUAAUUGGAAGAAUCUAUAGGAUUCUAAUGUUAUUUGGUACACAAAUUAUCUUAAGCAAACGAUGAGACGGCUAUUGACAUAUUUACGAAGUCUGGCUUUACAAAGUCUAACUACGGCCGCCAGAUGUCCGAAAUCAUUGUUAUGAAAAGUUGUAUCAGAAUUGUGCUUGUGCUGUAGGUUUUUAUUUAAUAAUAGUGUAAACUUAGGAGUGUAAUCGUGUGAAGCUAAUUAAAUCUGAUGGAUAUCAAAUAAAGGUGAGGGUCUUGAAAUA